UACGUAGGGUGCAAGCGUUAAUCGGAAUUACUGUGCGUAAAGCGUGCGCAGGCGGUUUUGUAAGUUUGUCGUGAAAGCCCCGGGCUCAACCUAAGAAUGGCGAUGAAGACUGCAAGGCUUGAAUCUGGCAGAGGGGGGUAGAAUUCCACGUGUAGCAGUGAAAUGCGUAGAGAUGUGGAGGAACACCGAUGGCGAAGGCAGCCCCCUGGGUCAAGAUUGACGCUCAUGCACGAAAGUGUGGGGAGCAAACAGG
rnacentral:rRNA from 1 species